rnacentral:lncRNA from 1 species
UCAGACCUUUUACCUAUAACCCCGGCUCACUUUCUGAUUGGGAGGUCCAUGAAUUCCAUACCAGAAGUAGACGUUUCUAAUGUCAACCCUCUUCGGUUAUCAAGAUUUGAACAUCUUCAGCAACUCCGUCAACAUUUUUGGCGAAGAUGGUCUUUGGAGUACGUUUCGGAGAUGCAGCAGAGACAAAAGUGGAAGGUGAAUCAAUUCCAAAUCAAGGUUGGUGCUCUUGUCCUAAUUAAAAGUAAGGACGCACCUCCUCUCCAGUGGUCCCUGGGACGUGUGGAACAGUUGCAUCCAGGGGCUGACAACAUUUCAAGGGUUGUCACACUUAAAACAGCUAAAGGACUCGUUCGUGUAGCAGUUGUGAACAUUUGACACUUCCAAGUGAAUAAAAGUCGCCAGGUGACAGUGAUUAUUUAUUGACUGUAAUAUAUUACGUUUAAUUUCAUUUUUAAUUUAUUGAAAGCUUUCCCUUUCAAGGUGGAGGGCAUGUUUACGAUUUAAAUUAAUUUGUUAUAUUUUAUUUAAUAGUUGUUUAAAUCCCGCUGCGACGGGCCUGGACUCUUUUUGUCACAAUAUGUAGAUCCAAAAUCUAAUGCCGAAACAGCCGGUUUUCAUAUUUAUAUACCUCUAUUUUCAUGUAUAAUGACUUGGCCUCGAGACUGUGAAGAAUAAACACGUUCUUUGUCACGCAUUUUUGUAAAAUUGUACAGUAGUCAGUUCUUAAAUAAAUUCGUAAAACUG